AGUGAACGCUGGCGGUAGGCCUAACACAUGCAAGUCGAACGGCAGCACAGUAAGAGCUUGCUCUUACGGGUGGAGCGUGGCGGACGGGUGAGGAAUACAUCGGAAUCUACUUUUUCGUGGGGGAUAACGUAGGGAAACUUACGCUAAUACCGCAUACGACCUACGGGUGAAAGCAGGGGAUCUUCGGACCUUGCGCGAUUGAAUGAGCCGAUGUCGGAUUAGCUAGUUGGCGGGGUAAAGGCCCACCAAGGCGACGAUCCGUAGCUGGUCUGAGAGGAUGAUCAGCCACACUGGCACUGAGACACGGUCCAGACUCCUACGGUAGGCCGCAGUGGGGAAUAUUGGACGAUGGGCGCAAGCCUGAUCCAGCCAUACCGCGUGGGUGAAGAAGGCCUUCGGGUUGUAAAGCCCUUUUGUUGGGAAAGAAAAGCAGCAGGUUAAUACCCCGCUGUUCUGACGGUACCCAAAGAAUAAGCACCGGCUAACUUCGUG
rnacentral:rRNA from 1 species